rnacentral:rRNA from 1 species
UCCGUCCUACGGGGGGCAGCAGUGGGGAAUUUUGGACAAUGGGCGCAAGCCUGAUCCAGCUAUUCCGCGUGUGGGAUGAAGGCCCUCGGGUUGUAAACCUCUUUUGCCGGGGAGCAAAAAGCGGUACGUGUACCGCAUCGAGAGUACCCGGAGAAAAAGCAUCGGCUAACUCCGUGCCAGCAGCCGCGGUAAUACGGAGGAUGCGAGCGUUAUCCGGAUUUAUUGGGUUUAAAGGGUGCGCAGGCGGCGAGUUAAGUCAGCGGUAAAAUUUCGGGGCUCAACCCCGACGAGCCGUUGAAACUGGC